CUGAAUGUAACCAAUUAGGAGGUCUAAAUCAUGUAAUGUAGUAAUGAUAGGAUUUCAACUCAGAACAAUUCCACAACUUUAUAAAGUCAGGCAAAUUUUUCAUUGCUAUGGGUUCUUUGUGAAUGUUGUGCUCCAGAUAAAUUUGUGUUGUUUUUUAAUUUGUUUGUUUGUUUGUUUGUUUGUUUGUUUGUUUUAGCUGCUUUUUAUAUCCUUGUAUGAUCUUAACUUCUUUGCAGCCAUACAUGCAUCCGGCACAGGUGAAACUGUGCAGAAGGAAAGCUACUGGCCAAUUGCAGAAAUCCAUUUCACGUGCCCAGCCUCCAUAAAGAAUGCACAGGAAAACUUAACUUCUUCAGCAGGUCAUCCAAAACACUCAGCAUGGUCACUAGGAAGCUGCCAAAUGCCUGAAGUGUGGGCAAUGCAGAUGACGGUGUGCUCCUGGAGCUUUGUGAACAAGCAUCCAGGACUACAGCUCUGCUUUCAACAGAAAUAUCGCAUAUUGCUUAUUAGUGAAUGCUGAAAAUGGCACUGUCAGAUGGGACAGCGGAGGAUUUUCCUAGAAUGCAGGUAAGUGUUACUGGCGGUUAACAAGCUGAUAGUGCUGACUCCCGUGCUACCCUAAUUCUGCUGCUUCUGAAGGGAUGUUCAUGACAGACUGAUCAUUCAAUGAGCAGGCAUUUUAAGGAGCAAGG
rnacentral:lncRNA from 1 species